AUAGAGAAAUAGAAACCAGUUUUCUUGUCCACGUGUACCUUAUUCGAAGCACAGUUUUCUCAGUGUAACUCAGUGGUCCUGUUUUUUUGAGGUGACUGCUGAGUCUGCCCCUUACCACACACAUUUUAACACCGCCCUGAGAAAAGCACCUACUUUGAGGUGACUGCAGGUAGGUCUUCCACACCAGGUAACCACGUUUCUGACUCCUUUUCCUGACACCGUGGUCCCCUUGGUGUCUUUCCUUUUCCUUUAAUUACCCCCCUGGACAGUGAAGUGCAGCAUCUCUCACUAAUAUUCUAAUAUUCUCUUCACCUUCCGUAGUCUCUUGAAAUAGGAGAGGAAGGAGAUGACAGCUGUGGAAUUUUUUUUUUUUUUUUUUGAAACACCUGCAAAGGCAAUAUGGCAUUAUUCGUCCCUAUUUGCAGGGCUGGCAGUGCGUUGAGUUGAAUAAGUAUUCUCAGUACUAGCCAGAUUCAGCUAAAAUGAAGCUGCUUGAAGAUUUGAGGUCAAACAAAACUUUAUGUUGAGGGACCACUUCUUUGUUUGAGUCAAGAUGAGUGGCCUUUAUUGGCUCAGGGACGCCUGCAGGUCAUUUCUGCAGAGUUAAAAUAUGUUUCUCCGUGGUCUGCAGGACACUUAAGGUAUAUAAAAAGUAAUUUUCGAAAUGUGGUUCUGGAGCCGCCAGUGGUCUAACAGCCGUAGAGGGUAUGACUGCUUGUCCUUGUGUGGAGUGGCGAGUGGUCCAGGUACCUGAAUUUAAGUGCCCGUCUGCUCUACAAGCCUGAUGGGGAUGAUCCGGGUGAUGGCUCCGUCUUGGCCAGCUGGGGACCAUGACCCCGGCACACUGGAUGAAGCCCCUUCUCCCACGGGGUCGCAGUAGAUGUUUUGUACUUGAGGUUGUGGGGCCUCCAUGCUGCUUGGACUUAGGGACCUUUCCUUCUUGGCAGCCUUUGCUUCUGCCACCAGGUGCUGGAGUCAGAGAUAAGCUCCAGGGGCCUAUUAAUAUUGCUGAGGGUAGACAGGGAUAAGUAUCUCAAAGGUUAGACCCACUCUGAUGAAAGCCUUGGAAACUGAUACAGACUAACCAAACUUUGCAAAUAAGUUAAGAUUUGCAGUGUAUAUGGACUCUUCAAUGAAAAGGGUGUUAAUCUGGAAACGUGUGUUUGUUCACAGACGAAUUCCCAUUUCAUGUAUGUGUGUACAUUGUAAGGCAUGAAGGGUAGGUUGAUCAUUCUGUGUGAGGUAAUUUUGUUUGUUUAAGGGCCGCACGUUCCCAGGCCAGGGGUCACAUCGAAGCUGCUGGCCUAAGCCACAGCUGCUGCAACUCCAGAUCCUUUAACCCACUGAGGCCACAAAUUGAACAUGCAUCCUCAUGGAUACUAGUUGGGUUCUUAACCUGCUGAACCGCAGUGGGACCUCUAUGGGCUGGUGCUUUUAAAAUUUUCUUUUUAUUUAUUCAUUUUGUAAGGUGGAUUAGUAGCACCCAUCUUGUAUCCUUAGCGUUAUGAUCUUGGGUCCAGACACAGGCUCUUAAAACUGCCAAAUUGGGCUGCGAUUAGAGGCAAGUGCUCGCUUUCAGAAGGGAGGUUUUCUGGGGUUUGUUAAGAUGGAUGCCUGUUGUUCCUUCAGAUUGUGUUAUAUUGGCACUUGCUUGCACUGCAUGUGGUGGAGGACACUGAUAUUCUUGACUGGUCUGAUCAGUCUUCGCUUGUAGUCGUACCUUGGAGACAGUGAUCCUGUGCUUGACUCACAAGUUCAGGUAUCGUACUGGUCUCAGAGUUCAUAUUUGGACCCUCGCAUCACCUCAGACUGGAAUUCAGCUCCUAGUAGCCUCUGUCAUUCUAAAGCUGCUUCAGUCUGACCCUCUAUCCUCAGGAAGCUUUUUUUGUUUGUUUUUAGGGUCGCACCCUCAACCUAUGGAGGUUCCCAGGCUAGGGGUCUAAUAGGAGCUGCAGCCACCGGCCUAUGCCACAGCCACAGCAACACCAGAUCUGAGCCACGUCUGCAACCUACACCACAGUUCAUGGCAAUGCCGGGUCCUUAACCCACUGAGCGAGGCCAAGGAUCGAACCUGCAACCUCAUGGUUCCUAGUCAGAUUCGUUUCUGCUGUGCCACGACGGGAACUCCUGUUUAUGUGUUUUUAAAAUAUACUUUAUAUAUGGGAAAAUGUACCUUUUAAAAACGUGGAGUCCUGGAUAUUGUGACAAACGCGCUCAGCUGUUUGACCACCACUGCAGUCAUGAUAUGGGACAUCUCUGUUACCCCCAAGGUUUCUUUGUGCUCCUUGCAGCCAGCGCCUCCUCCCGCACCCCAAUCCUAGGCGGGCCAUCCAUCAGUUCCCCGUCCCUGCAACCACAAGGCCAUAGGGACGAAUUGUCCAGUAUGGAGCCUUUGGAGUCUGGCUGCUCUUGCUGGCUGUGGUGCCUGGGAGUCAUCCAUGUCACUGUGUUGUGCGUAGGGCAUUGUCUUUAUUGCUGAGAGGUACUCUGCCAGCGUGUACCAGAGUUUGUUUAUCCGUUCACCAACUGAAGGACAUUUGGAUUAUUCAGUGUUUGGUA
rnacentral:lncRNA from 1 species